rnacentral:rRNA from 1 species
UACGUAGGGGCCUAGCGUUGUCCGGAUUUAUUGGGCGUAAAGAGCUCGUAGGCGGUUCGGUAAGUCAGGUGUGAAAUCUCCACGCUCAACGUGGAGGCGCCAUCUGAAACUGCCGUGACUCGAGUCCGGUAGGGGAGUGUGGAAUUCCUGGUGUAGCGGUGAAAUGCGCAGAUAUCAGGAGGAACACCAGUGGCGAAGGCGGCACUCUGGGCCGGUACUGACGCUGAGGAGCGAAAGCGUGGGGAGCGAACAGG